UACGUAGGGGGCAAGCGUUGUCCGGAAUCAUUGGGCGUAAAGCGCGUGUAGGCGGCUCGGUAAGUCUGCUGUGAAAGUCCAGGGCUCAACCCUGGGAUGCCGGUGGAUACUGUCGAGCUCGAGUCCGGAAGAGGCGAGUGGAACUCCUGGUGUAGCGGUGGAAUGCGCAGAUAUCAGGAAGAACACCAAUGGCGAAAGCAGCUUUCUGGGACGGUACUGACGCUGAGACGCGAAAGCGUGGGGAGCGAACAGG
rnacentral:rRNA from 1 species